UGGGGGCGACCCGCUCCGAGGACAGUGUCAGGUUGGGUGUUUGUCUGGGGCGGAACAUCUGUCAAAGGGUAACGCAGGUGUCCUAAGGCGAGCUUAGCGAGGACGGAAACCUCGCGUAGAGUGAAAGGGCAAAAGCUUGCUUGAUCUUGAUUUUCAGUACGAAUACGGACCGCGAAAGCGUGGCCUAUCGAUCCUUUUGAUGUUCGGGGUUUGAAGCAAGAGGUGUCAGAAAAGUUACCAAAGGGGUAACUGGCUUGUGGUGGCCAAGCGUUCAUAGCGACGUCACUUUUUGAUCCUUCGAUGUCGGCUCUUCCUAUCAUUGCGAAGCAGAAUUCGCCAAGCGUUGGAUUGUUCACCCACCAAUAGGCAACGUGAGCUGGGUUUAGACCGUCGUAAGACAGGUUAGUUUUACCCUACUGAUGCGGGUCGUUGCCGUAGUAUUCCUGCUCAGUACGAGAGGAACCGCAGGUACGGACAAUUGGUACGUGCGCUUGGCCGAACGACCACUGGCGCGAAGCUACCAUCCG
rnacentral:rRNA from 1 species